GAUUUCAAAGCCCCAAACAGAUCUACCCACUGAGGCGGCGGAGAAAAGGAGUUCGGCAGGUGCAGCGCUGUCAGGAGAUGAGACAAGCUAGACACACACCUGCUCUGAGACAGAUGGGGGCUGCUGAAGGUGAACUCACCCCGGGCCCCAUUCCUGACCUCCACCAGGUGGGCUUGAGCAGAGACCGCCUCAGGGCCAGCAGUCCUUCACCUCUUUCCACAAGAGCUUGCCAGGAAGAGAACCCUCUGAAGUCCAUUCUGAGCUCUCAGCCUGGGAUUUACCCGCCAUUUGUCACGGACAUCAGGCAAUUACUGGCACACGGAGCGGGAGGAGAACAGAGAGGGAAAGCUUUGCCUGGCCAGCGGGUCAUCACCUCCGCAUCAGUCACUGUUAGAGACGUCUCUGGUUUGCAUUCCCAGCUCAACUGCACAGAAAAGACAUCUUUUAGAUUCUCCAUAGUCACCCCUAUGCUGAGAAAACUGGGAAAAAAGGGCAAUAGUAGUUGCCAUAAAAACCUGGGGGCUCCAGGAGCUGUCCGCAAGAACUCUAUAAAGAGUUCUAAUAAUAAUAAUUUCUAUAGUGAUGCUAAUAGUUACUAAAAUAAAUUCUAAUAAUUUCUAAUAAUUCUAAUAAAU
rnacentral:lncRNA from 1 species